GGAGAGGUGUCCGAGGUGGCCGAAGGAGCACGAUUGGAAAUCGUGUGUUGGCUAAUCCCAACCGAGGGUUCGAAUCCCUCCCUCUCCGCCA
rnacentral:tRNA from 1 species